ensembl:lncRNA
GGAGGCUAUAUACAGGGGUACCGGUACAGAGUCAAUGUGGAGGCUAUAUACAGGGGGUACCAGUACAGAGUCAAUGUGGAGGCUAUAUACAGGGGUACCAGUACAGAGUCAAUGUGGAGGCUAUAUACAGGGGGUACCGGUACAGAGUCAAUGUGGAGGCUAUAUACAGGGGGUACCAGUACAGAGUCAAUGUGGAGGCUAUAUACAGGGGGUACCAGUACAGAGUCAAUGUGGAGACUAUAUACAGGGGGUACCGGUACUGAGUCAAUGUGGAGGAUAUAUACAGGGGGUACCGGUACAGAGUCAAUGUGGAGACUAUAUACAGGGGGCACCGGUACAGAGUCAAUGUGGAGACUAUAUACAGGGGGUACCGGUACAGAGACAAUGUGGAGGCUAUAUACAGGGGGUACCAGUACAGAGUCAAUGUGGAGGAUAUAUACAGGGGGUACCGGUACAGAGUCAAUGUGGAGGUUAUAUACAGGGGGUACCGGUACAGAGGCAAUGUGGAGGUUAUAUACAGGGGGUACCAGUACAGAGUCAAUGUGGAGGUUAUAUACAGGGGGUACCGGUACAGAGUCAAUGUGGAGGUUAUAUACAGGGGGUACCGGUACAGAGUCAAUGUGGAGGCUAUAUACAGG